UAAAGGAGAGGAAAUGAAGUAAUGGUGGUUUAACACUGUCAAGUUGGCCAAUGGGUGAGAUACUCAACUGUGUCACCGGUUUUGAGGCAGACUGAUGAAACUGCAGAAACCUGUUGGACGAGGGAACUAGUGUCGCAUGCAUUCCAUUCACAGAAAAAUGUCAGUAUUUAGUGUAAAUAAUAGCAGGCGCAGAAACAGACGCAAACACAGGCAACGAAUAGAUAGUCUGGACAAAGAAGACUAAGGGGGUUUGGAAGCCUGGGGGUUUCUUAUCUUAGGUAUGAUGACCUUUUAAAAGAUCACUUUUAACACAAGUCAGCUGGACCUGCUGGUGGACCCGCUGGCUCCGCUCGUUUGAAUCCAGCCUCGUCGCGGAUCCCAGAGUCGGCUCCGCCGGCAGAGCCAGGCUGGUGUCGUCCAGCACGAAAGAGCUCUGCGCAGGUGGAUCGACCAGCGUCCUGACAGUGAGGAGGGCGGGGCCUACAGGCGCACCUGUGGUGUCAGGUGUCCCCGAUGGGAGGUAUCUGUAUCUGCUGGCGUUGUGACGAACGCUUCGUCUCCAUCACUCAAGUGUUGUCACUUUUAAUGUAAAAUAUUUUAUACAUGUUGGAAUACAUUACGUUUUAAAUUUAAUUUAUUCGGUUGUAUUUGUUGUUUGAGUGAUAUAAAAGCCUUUAUAUAAAUUAUGUAAUAUUCUGAACUAAUAUACAAAUGUGGUCAAAGGAAUUAAAUUGUAUAAGCUAUGACAAGAAUAAGCCAUCGCUAAGGUUGGCUGUUAGCUUAGCAAACGUCUGCCUCCAUAAACUGGACCAACAGCACCUCCACACUUUAUAAAAUGUAUAAUUUAUUCAUAUUCCUUGGAAGGAAAUAAACAACAGUAAAAAAACAAACAAUCAAACACAGAGUCAUUGUCACCAAUCAGCAGAUGCAAAAAGGAACAUUAGCUUAACCUGCUUCAUGUCUUUGACUCAAAUUUGAACCAAAUUUCAUUAAGUGUUCAGUUUUUCAUUUUUUCUUCUUUUUCCCCUUUUUUUCUCUAUUUGCUGAACAUAAAACAUUUUAAAAUUUAAAAGCAUUUGUUUCCAGGCUGCUUCAAAGCUAAGCUAAACCUGCUUGCUAAUCUACUAUUUAAUAGACAGACAAAGGAGCUCAAAUGCCAAAUUAUACCUUCAUAAUGAGCUCCAUUUUGAGCAGAUGUAACAUGCUGCUACAAAUACAUUCAAAGUAAAACAACUCUUCCUGGGUUUCUUUGCUUCACUCUUAGGCUACUUUUAUUCUGAAGGUUUUGAAAACAGCACGUUUAAAGUAGCAUUACACUGAAAUAUUGCUGCUUGUAUUUAUGACUUUUUUAAACAAUUAAAAGAUGUUGCAUUACCUGAUUUAGGCACAUAAAGAUGAUCACUUAACUUGUUACAGUAUGACUUGUGUGCUCAUUAAAGGGCGAGGCAUGUGAAUUGUUCAGACGUCAUUGAGUUUUGGAACAGUGCUGCUGACAUAGUCUACUGAUAAGCGUGUACAAGAUGAAUUUAUGUGUCAGCAGUAUCUGUGCCAAAGCACCACCCUCUCCAGCUUGAGUUGUAAGAUGACAAUGCUGCCAGAUCAUUUCAGAGAAAGAGUAUGGUCAAUUUCUCUCCUUUCAACUGAAGCUAAAGUGUGAGCUAAAGUCAUCCCAAAGGCUAGUAUGCAGUACCCACUAUUUCAGAACAUGAAUCAUGAAUUUUGUCUCAGUUUUAUGAUCCUUGUCAGUGAAUAUUGCGCAAACUGUCUAUAACCAGAAUUUCCAUCUUUUGUUUGUAUUUAAAUGUGAGGCCCUAUACCAGGGUCAUUCCUCAUAAUACACUAAACCCUCAAAUAUUUGUUUCUUUUAAAUCCAACAAAUCAUCAUAUAUUUUCACUACUUCUAAAAACAAAGGCCUUGAAUCACUUGGAAACCAAUACUCCUUUGUACAAAAAGUAGACAUUUCCUUCAAAAAGGUGUAUUAAACUGUAAAUUUCCAUAUAUAAAGUGUUCAAAAAGGAUGAAUUAAACAACAGCAAGUUACAGUAAGAUUUUUCCCCUUUAAUGCAAUCUUUUCUCAGAAACAAUCUUUCCAGUACAAUUCUUUAAAUCACUUUCACAUUAAACUUUCCUGUGCAUAAUAUUCAGACAAAAGGUGACAAAUCUUUUCCUCGUCUGACCAGUCACAGAUCAGCAAAGACCCGAGCAUCUAACAGCACUUCAGCAAGUGGAGGAAGAAGGUGUUUCAGUCAGCAGCAAGCUGACGUUAAGCUAUGAAACAACACGACUGACAAUUUCAAAUUAAACAAAUCUUUGUAUUGUCUUACAUGUUCAAUUACAUGAGCAUGAAGUGAAUUUUAAAACAGUGUGGGGUAAACACUAAGUGACUAGGCAUGAUUCAAACAAUGGAGGAUGUAGCCCAUCUCUAAACACACAUUUCUUCACAUUAUAAAUUAUUAUAUUUUGAAGUAAUAAUAACAGACUUAUUGAAACAAUGUUCCUUAUUCACAAAGUCACUGACAUGUAGGUCUGUAGGUCAAGAUUUUUUUUUUCCAUCGGAACAUGAACAGAUUUUUUUUAAUUUUGGCACAUCAUAUUUCACAUUCAUCGAUCUGUAAUACAUACAUACAUACACACACCAGGUCAAACAAGGCUGAAGCGUUAUGGUAGCUGAACCGGUGUGCCAGAGUGUAUGAUACAGCAGAUAAGAUUUUGUAACAGAGCAGCACGACAGGGAAGGUAAAGGGGGAAAACAAAGUCAGUAUCACAAUGGAAAGACAAAUCUUUUAAAGGACCAGUGUGAAUGACUUAGUGACAUCUAGUGGUGAAGCUGCAGAUUGCAUCCAAAUGAACACUCCUCCAAUUCCAACAUGUAUGGUAUGUUGUGGCAGCCACUUAAUAAAACACUUGCUUCGAAGCAGGCCUUUUAUGCCUGUUUGUCCCUUCUGGGCUACUGUAGAAACAUGGACGGAUGAACGUUCCAUUUCUACCAA